rnacentral:rRNA from 1 species
UGAGGAAUAUUGGUCAAUGGGCGAGAGCCUGAACCAGCCAAGUAGCGUGCAGGAUGACGGCCCUAUGGGUUGUAAACUGCUUUUAUAUGGGAAUAAAGUGAGGGACGUGUCCCUUAUUGCAUGUACCAUACGAAUAAGGACCGGCUAAUUCCGUGCCAGCAGCCGCGGUAAUACGGAAGGUCCAGGCGUUAUCCGGAUUUAUUGGGUUUAAAGGGAGCGUAGGCUGUUUGUUAAGCGUGUUGUGAAAUGUAAGAGCUCAACUUUUAGAUUGCAGCGCGAACUGGCCGACUUGAGUGCGCACAACGUAGGCGGAAUUCAUGGUGUAGCGGUGAAAUGCUUAGAUAUCAUGACGAACUCCGAUUGCGAAGGCAGCUUACGGGAGCGCAACUGACGCUAAAGCUCGAAGGUGCGGGUAUCGAACAGG